rnacentral:rRNA from 1 species
GGGUUGUGAGGUUAAGCGACUAAGCGUACACGGUGGAUGCCCUGGCAGUCAGAGGCGAUGAAGGACGUGCUAAUCUGCGAUAAGCGUCGGUAAGGUGAUAUGAACCGUUAUAACCGGCGAUUUCCGAAUGGGGAAACCCAGUGUGAUUCGUCACACUAUCAUUAACUGAAUCCAUAGGUUAAUGAGGCGAACCGGGGGAACUGAAACAUCUAAGUACCCCGAGGAAAAGAAAUCAACCGAGAUUCCCCCAGUAGCGGCGAGCGAACGGGGAGCAGCCCAGAGCCUGAAUCAGUGUGUGUGUUAGUGGAAGCGUCUGGAAAGGCGCGCGAUACAGGGUGACAGCCCCGUACACAAAAAUGCACAUGCUGUGAGCUCGAUGAGUAGGGCGGGACACGUGGUAUCCUGUCUGAAUAUGGGGGGACCAUCCUCCAAGGCUAAAUACUCCUGACUGACCGAUAGUGAACCAGUACCGUGAGGGAAAGGCGAAAAGAACCCCGGCGAGGGGAGUGAAAAAGAACCUGAAACCGUGUACGUACAAGCAGUGGGAGCACGCUUAGGCGUGUGACUGCGUACCUUUUGUAUAAUGGGUCAGCGACUUAUAUUCUGUAGCAAGGUUAACCGAAUAGGGGAGCCGAAGGGAAACCGAGUCUUAACUGGGCGUUAAGUUGCAGGGUAUAGACCCGAAACCCGGUGAUCUAGCCAUGGGCAGGUUGAAGGUUGGGUAACACUAACUGGAGGACCGAACCGACUAAUGUUGAAAAAUUAGCGGAUGACUUGUGGCUGGGGGUGAAAGGCCAAUCAAACCGGGAGAUAGCUGGUUCUCCCCGAAAGCUAUUUAGGUAGCGCCUCGUGAAUUCAUCUCCGGGGGUAGAGCACUGUUUCGGCAAGGGGGUCAUCCCGACUUACCAACCCGAUGCAAACUGCGAAUACCGGAGAAUGUUAUCACGGGAGACACACGGCGGGUGCUAACGUCCGUCGUGAAGAGGGAAACAACCCAGACCGCCAGCUAAGGUCCCAAAGUCAUGGUUAAGUGGGAAACGAUGUGGGAAGGCCCAGACAGCCAGGAUGUUGGCUUAGAAGCAGCCAUCAUUUAAAGAAAGCGUAAUAGCUCACUGGUCGAGUCGGCCUGCGCGGAAGAUGUAACGGGGCUAAACCAUGCACCGAAGCUGCGGCAGCGACGCUUAUGCGUUGUUGGGUAGGGGAGCGUUCUGUAAGCCUGCGAAGGUGUGCUGUGAGGCAUGCUGGAGGUAUCAGAAGUGCGAAUGCUGACAUAAGUAACGAUAAAGCGGGUGAAAAGCCCGCUCGCCGGAAGACCAAGGGUUCCUGUCCAACGUUAAUCGGGGCAGGGUGAGUCGACCCCUAAGGCGAGGCCGAAAGGCGUAGUCGAUGGGAAACAGGUUAAUAUUCCUGUACUUGGUGUUACUGCGAAGGGGGGACGGAGAAGGCUAUGUUGGCCGGGCGACGGUUGUCCCGGUUUAAGCGUGUAGGCUGGUUUUCCAGGCAAAUCCGGAAAAUCAAGGCUGAGGCGUGAUGACGAGGCACUACGGUGCUGAAGCAACAAAUGCCCUGCUUCCAGGAAAAGCCUCUAAGCAUCAGGUAACAUCAAAUCGUACCCCAAACCGACACAGGUGGUCAGGUAGAGAAUACCAAGGCGCUUGAGAGAACUCGGGUGAAGGAACUAGGCAAAAUGGUGCCGUAACUUCGGGAGAAGGCACGCUGAUAUGUAGGUGAAGUCCCUCGCGGAUGGAGCUGAAAUCAGUCGAAGAUACCAGCUGGCUGCAACUGUUUAUUAAAAACACAGCACUGUGCAAACACGAAAGUGGACGUAUACGGUGUGACGCCUGCCCGGUGCCGGAAGGUUAAUUGAUGGGGUUAGCGCAAGCGAAGCUCUUGAUCGAAGCCCCGGUAAACGGCGGCCGUAACUAUAACGGUCCUAAGGUAGCGAAAUUCCUUGUCGGGUAAGUUCCGACCUGCACGAAUGGCGUAAUGAUGGCCAGGCUGUCUCCACCCGAGACUCAGUGAAAUUGAACUCGCUGUGAAGAUGCAGUGUACCCGCGGCAAGACGGAAAGACCCCGUGAACCUUUACUAUAGCUUGACACUGAACAUUGAGCCUUGAUGUGUAGGAUAGGUGGGAGGCUUUGAAGUGUGGACGCCAGUCUGCAUGGAGCCGACCUUGAAAUACCACCCUUUAAUGUUUGAUGUUCUAACGUUGACCCGUAAUCCGGGUUGCGGACAGUGUCUGGUGGGUAGUUUGACUGGGGCGGUCUCCUCCUAAAGAGUAACGGAGGAGCACGAAGGUUGGCUAAUCCUGGUCGGACAUCAGGAGGUUAGUGCAAUGGCAUAAGCCAGCUUGACUGCGAGCGUGACGGCGCGAGCAGGUGCGAAAGCAGGUCAUAGUGAUCCGGUGGUUCUGAAUGGAAGGGCCAUCGCUCAACGGAUAAAAGGUACUCCGGGGAUAACAGGCUGAUACCGCCCAAGAGUUCAUAUCGACGGCGGUGUUUGGCACCUCGAUGUCGGCUCAUCACAUCCUGGGGCUGAAGUAGGUCCCAAGGGUAUGGCUGUUCGCCAUUUAAAGUGGUACGCGAGCUGGGUUUAGAACGUCGUGAGACAGUUCGGUCCCUAUCUGCCGUGGGCGCUGGAGAACUGAGGGGGGCUGCUCCUAGUACGAGAGGACCGGAGUGGACGCAUCACUGGUGUUCGGGUUGUCAUGCCAAUGGCACUGCCCGGUAGCUAAAUGCGGAAGAGAUAAGUGCUGAAAGCAUCUAAGCACGAAACUUGCCCCGAGAUGAGUUCUCCCUGA